UCGAAAAUCGUAUUAUCUUUUGUCCAGACUCAAAUUUUAUAUGGCUGUUUGAUCUGUGGUUAGAAUUUAUUCCCGGUGUCCGUGUCUCACUAAGUUACCUCUGUUGAAACUGAAAAAUGUAUGAAUGCAAAAAUGGUUUAUCAAAUCCAUGCUGAUUGCAAGACAUGCUUGUAUUGAAAAAGCAAUCAUCUUUUCACAUAUACAAAACUUUGUAAGGUUUGAGGUGCUGGUUUUGGAACCGCUUCUGUUUUUGUUUUACUGUACUCCUCUCAAUAGAGAUGCUCCUUUGAACUCUCAAGUUUCUAUUUUUGUUGCAUAGUUCACCGUUUGCAGACCAGUUGUUUGGUUGUCCUUUUAAUCAAAACUUCUGUUGUUAUGUUUGGAGGCAAGUCUGCAUUGGUCUCAUCCUGAUGGAAUUCAUUACAUGGUGGGAAUGUUAAGAGCGGGGACCUUAUAUUUAGAAACAACAAGGUGAUCCAUUUGUUGGUUUGUGCACACCUUCCUGUUAGGUUGUUUUCAAAAAUUAUUGGCAGUGAUGAUCUGGUAAAUCCCGGAUGUUUUAAAUUGUCUGAACUCUUCAGCCUGUGUGUGCCUGCUGUCUUUGCUUAUUGUUUGCUCCUUUAGCUUGAAGAAGCGCUGCACUUAAUUGGCGAGCUUGCUGAGAAAGAAAAGUUGUCACAGCGUGAUGAAAAGAUCGAUGCAUGAAAAGAGGUAUUCAUUAUUCAUUUACCUGUCGUCUCAUCUCUUACUGAAAUCUCAUCUCUCUUACUGAAAUUGCAGAACUGUUUGUGCACAUUGUGAUGUUUCUUUUUUCCGUAAACGCAAUCUAUCAGGUCUAAGCCAUAUCUAUUCCUGGGCAAGAAGGGCAUGAAGUAACACUUUGUCCUAGGUAUAUGCAUUUACUAUUGACCCUCGUUUUCCUCAUUUUCCGAUCGAUCUGUUUCUUUUUAAGACCUUCGCCAUCUCGCGCAAGAUCCUGCCUCAUUGAUUCUUACAUUGUUUCAGGAUGGCAUCUUUUGGUGAUUUAGACGCCUUUUGGAAAAUAUAGAUAUCUGUUACAUGUGUUGGAGGUUUGCGGCUUAUACAUGCAUGUCCUGAAUCUGGUUCUUCGAGGUGAAAUGGGUUGGUCGAAAUCAUGUCUACAACUUCCUUGAAAGAGCUUCUGCACCUCGUGUUUCAGUUUUGGUCACGUUUAUAUCCCUCUGUAGAAGGUCGCAGAGCCUUGGUACCCCUUGUAUGUUCUGUUGACGGUAUCACUUAGUGUUGUUUGGACCAUGUAUUGUAUUCGUGUUCCCUUUUUAUGUUAUUGGUGCUUCAGAAUCUAUAAUCAACUUGCAUUGCUUGUGUACAUGGUUACUUUUGCACCGUUCUGUUGUGGUUCAUAUUACUUGGAUUUUAUACGAUACUAUGACCUGCCAUCCAAUCUAUCUUUAAUAGAGAAACCCCCUUUUUCUCUAUGUAUCUGGAU
rnacentral:lncRNA from 1 species